rnacentral:ncRNA from 1 species
GAUGCCAAGACGGCUAGCCACACUACCCGAGGACAAAAGACUUAGUCCUAACCUUACCGUUAGUUUUUGCUAGAUUUAUACAUGCAAGUAUCCGCGCUCCAGUGUAAAUGCCCUUAACCUCUUACCAAGACAAAAGGAGCAGGCAUCAGGCACGCCCCGGACAUUCGCAGCCCAAGACGCCUUGCUUAGCCACACCCCCACGGGUAUUCAGCAGUAAUUAACAUUAAGCAAUAAGUGUAAACUUGACUUAGUCAUAGCAAUCACAGGGUUGGUAAAUCUUGUGCCAGCCACCGCGGUCACACAAGAAACCCGAAUUAACCGUAACACGGCGUAAAGAGUGGUAUGCGCAUUAUCACAGUAUCUAAGAUCAAAAUAUAGCUGAGCCGUCAUAAGCCUAAGCUAUACUUAAAGCCACCAUUAAAAUGAUCUCAGUAAAUUCUUGAUAAAUCAGAACCACCAAAGCUAGGGCACAAACUGGGAUUAGAUACCCCACUAUGCCUAGCCCUAAAUCUUGAUACUUAACUUUACCAAAGUAUCCGCCCGAGAACUACGAGCACAAACGCUUAAAACUCUAAGGACUUGGCGGUGCCCUAAACCCACCUAGAGGAGCCUGUUCUAUAAUCGAUAACCCACGCUACACCCAACCAUCCCUAGCCUGAAGCAGCCUACAUACCGCCGUCGCCAGCCCACCUCCCCUGAAAGAACAACAGUGAGCACAAUAGCCCUCCGCUAAUAAGACAGGUCAAGGUAUAGCUUAUGGGACGGAAGAAAUGGGCUACAUUUUCUAAUAAUAGAAAACAACGAAAAGAGAUAUGAAACUAUCCCUAGAAGGCGGAUUUAGCAGUAAAGAAAGAUAAUGAAGCUUUCUUUAAAUUGGCCCUGGGGCACGUACAUACCGCCCGUCACCCUCCUCACAAGCUCCAAAUCUACAUAAUUAAUACCUUUAAAAGCUAAAGACGAGGUAAGUCGUAACAAGGUAAGUGUACCGGAAGGUGUACUUAGCAUAUCAAGGCGUAGCUACAAUGAA